CUCAGAACCUCUGGAAAUUGAACCUGCCUCUCUGAUCCUCCAGCUCCAUUGCACAGAUGGGGAAAUCAGUCCUUGGCAGGACAGCGAGAAAGACGCAGGACAACUCAGUGAGAAGCAGAGUGAAGGUGAAGGAGGGCCCAGGGAGAGCCAGGACCCCCAAGAUGCUGCUGGGAAAGACCUAGGGAAAUACCUGAUACUAUUGCUGUUGCAAGUGAUGACCAUGUGUGAGAUACUGGUGUGUGCAGACCCUGGGUCUAGAGAGCUGACACCAUGAUCUCCUGAAAGACAUCACAACUACUGCUCUCCAUACUUCCCAUUGAGUCUCUAACCCAGACUGAUCAUGGGGAAAAUGUAAA